rnacentral:rRNA from 1 species
GUGUGACUGCGUACCUUUUGUAUAAUGGGUCAGCGACUUAUAUUCUGUAGCAAGGUUAACCGAAUAGGGGAGCCGAAGGGAAACCGAGUCUUAACUGGGCGUUAAGUUGCAGGGUAUAGACCCGAAACCCGGUGAUCUAGCCAUGGGCAGGUUGAAGGUUGGGUAACACUAACUGGAGGACCGAACCGACUAAUGUUGAAAAAUUAGCGGAUGACUUGUGGCUGGGGGUGAAAGGCCAAUCAAACCGGGAGAUAGCUGGUUCUCCCCGAAAGCUAUUUAGGUAGCGCCUCGUGAAUUCAUCUCCGGGGGUAGAGCACUGUUUCGGCAAGGGGGUCAUCCCGACUUACCAACCCGAUGCAAACUGCGAAUACCGGAGAAUGUUAUCACGGGAGACACACGGCGGGUGCUAACGUCCGUCGUGAAGAGGGAAACAACCCAGACCGCCAGCUAAGGUCCCAAAGUCAUGGUUAAGUGGGAAACGAUGUGGGAAGGCCCAGACAGCCAGGAUGUUGGCUUAGAAGCAGCCAUCAUUUAAAGAAAGCGUAAUAGCUCACUGGUCGAGUCGGCCUGCGCGGAAGAUGUAACGGGGCUAAAC